CCUACGGGUGGCAGCAGUGAGGAAUAUUGGUCAAUGGGCGCGAGCCUGAACCAGCCAAGUAGCGUGAAGGAUGACUGCCCUACGGGUUGUAAACUUCUUUUAUAAAGGAAUAAAGUGAGGCAAGUGUGCCUUUUUGUAUGUACUUUAUGAAUAAGGAUCGGCUAACUCCGUGCCAGCAGCUGCGGUAAUACGGAGGAUACGAGCGUUAUCCGGAUUUAUUGGGAUUAAAGGGAGCGUAGAUGGGUUGUUAAGUCAGUUGUGAAAGUUUUCGGCUCAACCGUAAAAUUGCAAUUGAUAAUGGCAGCCUUGAGUACAGUUGGGGUAGGCGGAAUUCGUGGUGUAGCGGUGGAAUGCUUAGAUAUCACGAAGAACUCCGAUGGCGAAGGCAGCCUACUAAACUGCCACUGACAUUGAGGCUCGAAAGUGUGGGUAUCAAACAGGAUUAGAUACCCGGGUAGUC
rnacentral:rRNA from 1 species